rnacentral:rRNA from 1 species
CAGCAGCCACGGUAAUACGUAGGGUGCGAGCGUUAAUCGGAAUUACUGGGCGUAAAGCGUGCGCAGGCGGUUUUGUAAGACGGGCGUGAAAUCCCCGGGCUCAACCUGGGAAUGGCGCUUGUGACUGCAAAGCUAGAGUGCGGCAGAGGGGGAUGGAAUUCCGCGUGUAGCAGUGAAAUGCGUAGAUAUGCGGAGGAACACCGAUGGCGAAGGCAAUCCCCUGGGCCUGCACUGACGCUCAUGCACGAAAGCGUGGGGAGCAAACAGGAUUAGAUACCCGCGUAGUCCCUGUCUCUUAUAC